rnacentral:rRNA from 1 species
AUUGAACGCUGGCGGCAGGCCUAACGCAUGCAAGUCGAGCGGAUGAAGGGAGCUUGCUCCUGGAUUCAGCGGCGGACAGGUGAGUAAUGCCUAGGAAUCUGCCUGGUAGUGGGGGAUAACGUCCGGAAACGGGCGCUAAUACCGCAUACGUCCUGAGGGAGAAAGUGGGGGAUCUUCGGACCUCACGCUAUCAGAUGAGCCUAGGUCGGAUUAGCUAGUUGGUGGGGUAAAGGCCUACCAAGGCGACGAUCCGUAACUGGUCUGAGAGGAUGAUCAGUCACACUGGAACUGAGACACGGUCCAGACUCCUACGGGAGGCAGCAGUGGGGAAUAUUGGACAAUGGGCGAAAGCCUGAUCCAGCCAUGCCGCGUGUGUGAAGAAGGUCUUCGGAUUGUAAAGCACUUUAAGUUGGGAGGAAGGGCAGUAAGUUAAUACCUUGCUGUUUUGACGUUACCAACAGAAUAAGCACCGGCUAACUUCGUG